rnacentral:rRNA from 1 species
UACGUAGGGUGCAAGCGUUGUCCGGAAUUAUUGGGCGUAAAGAGCUCGUAGGCGGUUUGUCGCGUCUGCUGUGAAAACUCGGGGCUUAACCCCGGGCCUGCAGUGGGUACGGGCAGACUAGAGUGUGGUAGGGGAGACUGGAAUUCCUGGUGUAGCGGUGGAAUGCGCAGAUAUCAGGAGGAACACCGAUGGCGAAGGCAGGUCUCUGGGCCACUACUGACGCUGAGAAGCGAAAGCAUGGGGAGCGAACAGG